rnacentral:rRNA from 1 species
GACGGGGGGGGCAAGUGUUCUUCGGAAUGACUGGGCGUAAAGGGCACGUAGGCGGUGAAUCGGGUUGAAAGUGAAAGUCGCCAAAAAGUGGCGGAAUGCUCUCGAAACCAAUUCACUUGAGUGAGACAGAGGAGAGUGGAAUUUCGUGUGUAGGGGUGAAAUCCGUAAAUAUACGAAGGAACGCCAAAAGCGAAGGCAGCUCUCUGGGACGGUACUGACGCUGAGACGCGAAAGCGUGGGGAGCGAACAGG